UGGGGAAUAUUGGACAAUGGGCGAAAGCCUGAUCCAGCCAUGCCGCGUGUGUGAAGAAGGUCUUCGGAUUGUAAAGCACUUUAAGUUGGGAGGAAGGGCAGUAACCUAAUACGUUGCUGUCUUGACGUUACCGACAGAAUAAGCACCGGCUAACUCUGUGCCAGCAGCCGCGGUAAUACAGAGGGUGCAAGCGUUAAUCGGAAUUACUGGGCGUAAAGCGCGCGUAGGUGGUUUGUUAAGUUGGAUGUGAAAUCCCCGGGCUCAACCUGGGAACUGCAUUCAAAACUGACAAGCUAGAGUAUGGUAGAGGGUGGUGGAAUUUCCUGUGUAGCGGUGAAAUGCGUAGAUAUAGGAAGGAACACCAGUGGCGAAGGCGACCACCUGGACUGAUACUGACACUGAGGUGCGAAAGCGCGGGGAGCAAACAGGAUUAGAUACCCAUGUAGUCCCUG
rnacentral:rRNA from 1 species